UGGGGAAUAUUGGACAAUGGGGGAAACCCUGAUCCAGCAAUGCCGCGUGAGUGAAGAAGGCCUUAGGGUUGUAAAGCUCUUUCGCCCGCGAAGAUAAUGACGGUAGCGGGAGAAGAAGCCCCGGCUAACUCCGUGCCAGCAGCCGCGGUAAUACGGAGGGGGCUAGCGUUGUUCGGAAUUACUGGGCGUAAAGCGUACGUAGGCGGAUGCGCAAGUUGGGGGUGAAAUCCCGGGGCUUAACCUCGGAAUUGCCCUCAAAACUGCACGUCUUGAGACCGAGAGAGGUAAGGGGAAUUCCUAGUGUAGAGGUGAAAUUCGUAGAUAUUAGGAAGAACACCAGUGGCGAAGGCGCCUUACUGGCUCGGUACUGACGCUGAGGUACGAAAGCGUGGGGAGCAAA
rnacentral:rRNA from 1 species